rnacentral:tRNA from 1 species
GUAUGUAUAGCUCAGUGGUAGAGCAAGUGCUUAGCAUGCAUGAGGUCCUGGGUUCAAUCUCCAGUACCUUCA